CCUACGGGUGACAGCAGUGAGGAAUAUUGGUCAAUGGACGAGAGUCUGAACCAGCCAAGUAGCGUGAAGGAGGAAGGCCCUAUGGGUUGUAAACUUCGUUUAUAAAGGAAUAAAACGAGGCACGUGUGCCUUUUUGCAUGUACUUUAUGAAUAAGGAUCGGCUAACUCCGGGCCAGCAGCCGCGGUAAUACGGAGGAGCCGAGCGUUAUCCGGAUUUAUUGGGUUUACAGGGAGCGUAGAUGGGUUGUUAAGUCAGUGGUGAAAGUUUGCGGAUCAACCGUAAAAUUGCAAUUGAUACGGGCAGUCUUUAGUACAGUUGCGGUAUGCGGCAUUCGUUGUGUAGCG
rnacentral:rRNA from 1 species